UGUCCCUGCAGUCGUGCUCCCCGGUAUGUACCGGCAUGAGGUGAACACUUCCUUCAACACAAAAACCGGCACAUGGAUGUUCAGAGCUGCUUUAUUCCGAAAUGCCAAAACUUGGAAACAACCAACAUGUCCUUCAGCAGGUGAACAGAUAAAUCAACUGUGGUUCAUCAAGACUACAGAAUAUUAUUCAGUUGCUAAAAAGAAAUGAGCUAUCAAGCCAGGAAAACACAGGGAGAAACCUUGAAUGCAUGUUAUUAACUGAAAGAAGCCAUAUGAAAAGCCUGUAUACUACAUGAUAUAAAUUACAUGACAUUCUGGAAAAGGCAAACUAUGGAGAAGAAAAGAUCAAUGGUCUCCAGGGGUGGUAAGGUAGAGAGAUGAAUAGGCAGAGCAAGAGGAUUUUUUUCAGGCAGUGAAAAUACUCUGUGUGAUAUUACAAUGAUGGAUUAUACUUUUGUCCAAACCCACAGAAUUUAAAAUACUGAGACCGAACCCUACGGUCAACUGGAGACAGUGGGUGGUCAUGCUGUGUAGGGCCACGCUUGGUAAAACGAAUCAUGGAGGCAUUAAAUGGAACUGAUAUGGAGUUGGUAUUGAAAAUAAAAUGCAGUUUCCUUAGAGAAAAAUAUGUAUAGACUGAAGCAAGGAAUUCUUAUCCCCAACUAGCACCUGGAGAGUGAAGAAGGCCAAGGAUGCACACGCACACGGGAUGAAAAGAACGGCACUCUCUGAGCAGAGUGCACACGUUCUCAUUUCUGGGGCUGCCCUUCUCCCACCUUGCCUCUCAGUUGGUGGCUGCAGAACCAUUUCUGAGCAUUCAGUUCCACUAAACAGGUGAAGUUCUCCAUGACAGGACUUCAGAACAACAUAGCCUAGUGUUUUGAAUUCAUUCAUUAGUAGUUAUGUGGAGAGCUUUGGAAAAGCUGCCCUUUGGGAAACAGCUUGAAUUCCUGAUAAGAUAAAUGCCACGAGAGGCUGUAAGAAACAAUGAAUUGGCACGGGACUGGAGGAAGGUUCUCAGCUUGGGAGCCAGUCAGGGCUUUGCUUAAUCCUGGCUUCAGGACUCUAGGACUAUACCUGUGGGCAAGAAAGUGAACCUGAACUUCACCACCUUCAACUGAGAAUGGAAAUGUUACUAUUUAUCUUUCAGGAUUCUUGUGAGUAUUAAAUGUAAACUAUGUGUACAACAUUUUUAGAGCUUCAUAUAAAACACUUUCCAAAUA